GAGUCCUAACUGGUUUGCACAACCCGCCCGCCUCCGCCCCCCAACACCACAGCAGCUGGCGUUCUAAGAGAAGCCAGGCAGUCUCUGGCAAUGAACAUGGUAUUGAAGCCUCCUCACCCCUGGCAUGAUGGCAUUUGGAGAGGAAGCAUUCAGGAAUUAUAUUAGUCACUUUUUCCAGCUCUGCGACAGACAGCAAGGCUAGCUGGAUUACCAGCAUCUGGAUAGUCACCUGCCUCUACUUUCCACCUCAUACAGGUAAGUGCAAGAUGGCAGAUGCUCGAGCCAGUGUACGCAGGUUGUACUGGGUUCUGGGGACUGGAACUCAGG